CAUUCGAUGUGCGCCUCGGAGGUAGCUAACAGCAGUGUCCAUUGCUUCACGUUGAACGUUCAAAAUUAAUUGAACCUUCCAUUAGUUCGGUGUUAGUUAACUAUUGAUGAUUUGGUUGGUCAGGAACUACACCUGCUCUAUUUGUGGUUUGGUGAAUCGGUUAUAGGCAGAUAAUUCGAAAUCGUGUAUAUUGCCGGACAUCCAUCGUACGGAGCAUAAUAUAUUGAUAUCUGUGAAUGGAGAGAAUAUCUAGCAGAACUGGUUGACCCACCCAAAAGUGCAUCUGUUGGAAUAGGAAAAUUAAGUGAUUCGGACGUUUAACAGCCAGGUGUUAACAAGUGAAUAUCGGGCAGUACUAACUAAAAACUUAUCCAAGUAUAACAGACAGUAAAAUCUUGUUUGCGAACACUGUGUCAAGUGCAACAGCCGCCAAAAUAAAGCUAAAAAUGGAUGGUGCCACUGUGAGCCCAAUGCCAGAGGCUCCGUUAGCGAUGAUGGAGAUCGAAAAGACGCCCCCAAGAAGUCCCAGUAAUCAUGACAUGCCACCGCCUCCGGAUGAGAAACGCUAUGACGACGACGACGAUCGAGUAUGGGACUGUGGAGCAUGGUUCGAAUAUAUUCUAGUAGUUGUAGUAUCUUCGAUACUGCUCAUCGCCGCAUCUGUACUGACCAUUUUCUGGGUGAUAUACUAUCGAAGAGGCUUCAACAUGGACGAUCCAAAGCUACAAUUUAAUCUACAUCCCGUUUUGAUGGUUGGCGGUUACAUCACACUUUCCGGAUUUUCCAUUUUACUAUACCGCAUUUGCCGUUGCUGUUCACAUUUGAUCGUAAAAUUGUGUCACACAUUUUUCCAUGCUUGCUCCAUUCCGUGCAUCGUUAUCGGAUUCCUUGCCGUUUGGGACUCUCACAACCAGACUCAAACACCCAACUUUUAUUCAUUGCAUUCAUGGCUCGGUUGCAUCACAAUGGGAUUGUUUGCUCUACAGUUUGUCCUGGGAUUUUUCAGUUUUCUCAUUCUACUGUGUUGUGAGAACGCAACUUAUAAGUUCCGAUCGACUAUGGUACCGAUCCAUGCAAGUUUUGGAGUAGCCACAUUCAUGUUGGCCGUUGCCACAGCAGUUACUGGUUUGACACAAAAGGCACAUUUCGAGUUAGGGGAAAGUUACCAACAAACCAUCGAAGAGGGAAUCAUCAUAAACUCGAUCGGAGUGGUUCUAACAGGUCUUGGUAUAAUCAUUCCAUUCGCCGUAAGACGUUCAAAUUCUCCAGCCAACUGCAAGGUUUAUGUCACCGAACGCAUAUAAGCACGCAUAUGAAUCGAUCUUUACAUCAAAGAUUACUUGCAAUAUAAGAAAUUCAUUUUGUUAGGUAUGAGUGUUAUUUAAAUAAUAAGAUAAAUUUAAAUGUAAGGCAUAUGUUUAGAAGCUGUUUUGUUCCAUUUAUAAAUCAUUGUUUUCAAGGUAGUGCUACCUUUCCUCAAAUGACAUAUCCCAAGCAGCCCAUUUACUUGAAAUAUAUGCUAUGAACUCUAAUUUAUUUUGUUGGAUAGCUUAUAAUGUUUAAUAAUUAAAAAAAUGGACAAAUGUAUCUUUCUUUGCUCAUAAUUCUUCCAUUUAGCAUUUUGUCUUUAAGGUCCAAACGCAAUGAUUGCGGAACGGCGGCGUAAACAAAACAGGUUCAUCCGGCUACUGGCUGAUUUAAACUAGUGAUCGUUUAUAAGAGAGAUACGCGUAAGCUAACAUUUCUGUGAGCCAAUCGAGCAGCAAGAGUUGUCAAAGCGUGAGCCAAACGAACAUGCGUUAUGUUUGUUUUGAACUUUUCUUGAGAAGUAAUGUAAUCCGCUUGAAAUAAUUUCGGUGAAAGUUGCUUUGCACAGAGCAAAAAGUAUGAAGUAUUUCUCUUUUUUUAAUGUUUGUCAAUGAGAUAUUCAGUUGUUGAUUUUGUUUGCUGCUUAUUAGUUUGGAAAUGUAGCUCAAUGAUCGAUAACGAAACACAACACACUUUUUAGCAAUGAGGAAGUCAUGUCCGUGUUACAAUAUUAUUCUCGAUGCCGAGCAAACUCAGCACUGCUGGUCCGUUGCCAAAUCAUUCAAUUUUACUUCCGCUUAUCUCUCAUAUAAAGGAUAAUUUACAAGUGAACAAGCAUGUCGCAAUUUAUGAUGGCCGAACUUUCGCAUCCGUUGUCGUUCCGUUUUAAUCAUUAGUGAGUUAAUGGUACUUUAAAUGCAAUCAUUUUCUGACUUGUUACGCUAUAUACAAAUGUAAUUCGAAAUAAAGUAAUCAUAAACCACUAUGUGGAAAUAUUUGAAGGUCCUUUUAGUAUUAAUAGAACGUAAUAGUUCAUUUCACGGCGAAAUUCUCUCUCUUUCGUUCUUCAACAAAACUUGAAAACAACGGCGCCUGUACCUGACAACUUUGACAGGUACUAGCAUCGUUGUUCUAAAAUUUCCCAAUGGAACAAUUGAACGAUGCACGAGUUCACUAAUUUGACGUUUGAGCGGUGUCAAAAUUUCACUGGUUUCCAUGGCCACUUGAAUAACACGGUACCGCUUAAACGUCAAAUAGUGAACUCGUGCAUUGGUCCAUAGGAGAUGACGUUUUGGGUGAUGAAGCAUUUGGGAAAGAGUAGCACAAAUUUUUGUUAUGUAUUUAUAUUGAUAUAUCAACUACACAACCGACCAUACCACAAAUAUUGUAGAUUUCAAAGCGUUCUAGCUGAAAAAAAAACACUUGCACUAUUGAUCGUGUAAUAGAAAAUUUUUACGAAUACAUCUAAAAAGUCGAAAUAUUGUCGUCAUUACAUUAUUCCACCAAAACAAAAAACGUAGUGUGGCGCUCAUAAGAACGAAUAAACAUAUGUGUCUCAAUCGAAAAUCCAGGCUCAUAUAUUCUAGCA